rnacentral:misc_RNA from 1 species
GAUGAAGAACGUAGCGAAAUGCGAUACGUAGUGUGAAUUGCAGAAUUCAGUGAAUCAUCGAAUCUUUGAACGCACAUUGCACCUCUCGGUAUUCCGGGAGGUAUGCCUGUUCGAGCGUCAUUUGUACCCUCAAGCUCUGCUUGGUGUUGGGUGUUUGUUCCGCCUCUGUGUGUGAACUCGCCUCAAAACAAUUGGCAGCCGGCGUACUUGUUUCGGAGCGCAGCACAUUUUGCGACCCAGAUCAACGUACAGCGGCAUCCAAGAAGCCUUAUUUAACGCUCUUGACCUCGGAUCAGGUAGGGAUACCCGCUGAACUUAAGCAUAUCAAUAAGCGGAGGA